CUGGCCGCGGCGCCCUCCACCCGCGGCCGCCAGCUCCUCGAGAUGAUUGUUACUGAGGAUCUUUCCGUGGGGUCCGCGUUCUAAGAGGAACAGACACACACACACCCACACCCCCCCCACACACCCUCGCGUUCUAAGAGGAACACACACACACACACACACACACACACACACACACACACACACACACACACACACACACAUCAGUGGAUCCAGGCGCUGGGGAUUGCGCUGGGAUCUCAUCCGGGAGAUUGACUUCUGAUGGUCUCCCAGUGGGUCCUUGGCUCUCGGACUCUUCCUUCCAAGCCCAGCCGCCCUAGAAAUUGCGAGAUGGCGCUUAGGGCCUUUGAUGUGAGCCAAGUGAAACUGCUGAGCCAGCGCCUGCGCUUGAUUUAAAAGGAGAGCCCAGUUACAAAAGUCUGAGCCUUGGCCGACCUCUUCCCUGAGCGUGCCUGUGCUUUCCUCCUGCAGUUUUCUAUGAGAUCGUUGAAUCUCCAAUGUGUGCUGAUAGCAGAACACUAGUUUCCCAACCGUGGAACAGCCAGCGCCAAGGGGAGUUUGGUUUUGUGGGAGGUGUCCAGCCGUCCUUCCUGACUGAGUUUCUGGAUGGAAACUGCUCCUGAGUGGAAGGAUAUAGACAAAAACUGUCUGCUGCAUGGGGUUUCUGCAAGUUUCACCAAAGAAGAGGCUCUCUCUGAUUUUACUGAGAAGACCCUUGGCUCAAUGUGUCAUCCUUAUACCUGUCCCUGAAGAAAAUGAUCGAGAAGAAAAGUGCACUGCCCCUCAGCACUACUUUAGACAUUGUUUGCAGAGCAACGUUUCUGCUUUUACUUACUUGCCCUAUUUCAGCAUUUAUCCUUUAGUGGAAUGAACUGUUUUAUUUCCUGACCUUGGCUUUCUCAGGCAUACUAACUGAUCUGUACUAAGAACACUCUGUAACUGCUUGGAGAAGAGACUGUACUGUGAUUUCAUCAAACUUGCAUCUUUUUCUUCAUGAAAUGCCACAACCUACCACACCUGCACUUAGACAUGUGUCUUGGGAACAAGUUCUGGCUGACGCAAUGCAAAGGGGAAGGAGACUGAACCCUUUGGUUCUGGACUGAACUCCUAAAAAGCUAACAUCCAUGAAAUUUGUCUUCCCAUGUGGCCAUAUAGAACUGAUCCAUAGUAGCACACCUACUGUCACCUAGACGGAGUUUUGACUAGAUGGAAGGAGGCCAAGGUACCCAUGUGACCAUGUGAAGUAGGUAAUGUCUCUCUCAAAUAAAUGCUUUCACUCAUGAUAGGAAGAAAUAGCUAUCUGAGUUAAGCCACUGGAAAACUUGUGGUUAUCUGUUAUAGUGGCUAAUCUAUGCUGAUUGCUGUACUCUUCAAUUUAAGUGUAUUUCAAAAUAACAGAUAUCCUCCUUGUUAUUACCUGUUCUCCUUGUGAAGGUUCACUUACCUGUAGUCCCUGCAGUACCUCAUUAGACUCAAUUUACCCAGAUUUUUGUUGUUGUGGUGGUGGUGGUGAUGGAGAGCACAUCCAUACCACCAUGUAAAUGCUCUACCCUGACCUAUACCCCCAGCCCAUCACCCAGAGAUAAGAAAAAUCAACAUUGGAUACACUGUUUUCAUCAAAUACCAUCCUCUAUCUCUCUAUUCUCUCAAGUCUCACAGCUUCCGUGUGACUCCCUUACCCAGCUUGCAGAUGUUUUCCUUAUGGUGGCAGUGAAGACAAAAAAAAUCAUGCUUCCCUUUACCUGUUUGCAUGUCUUGAUACUCAA